UAGGGAAUCUUCCACAAUGGACGCAAGUCUGAUGGAGCAACGCCGCGUGAGUGAAGAAGGGUUUCGGCUCGUAAAGCUCUGUUGUUAAAGAAGAACGUGGGUAAGAGUAGCUGUUUACCCAGUGACGGUAUUUAACCAGAAAGCCACGGCUAACUACGUGCCAC
rnacentral:rRNA from 1 species